AUCCUUUUGUAGUUCAUGAGCAUGAUGAUUGGGUGUUCACAUGCUUGUGUGAGAUGUGCCACCCUCAGAACCUUGCUCCGACAUCGGCACAUUACCCAUCUGACC
ensembl:snoRNA